rnacentral:rRNA from 1 species
UACGGAGGGUGCAAGCGUUGCUCGGAAUUAUUGGGCGUAAAGGGCAGGUAGAUGGUCUUGUUUGUCAGAGGUGAAAGCCUUGGGCUUAACCCAAGAAGUGCCUCUGAAACGGCAAGACUGGAGUACUGGAGAGGCUAGUGGAAUACCCGGUGUAGCGGUGAAAUGCGUAGAGAUCGGGUGGAACACCAGAGGCGAAGGCGGCUAGCUGGACAGUUACUGACACUCAACUGCGAAAGCGUGGGGAGCAAACAGG